rnacentral:rRNA from 1 species
GAUUUGUGCCCGAAAGUGGAGCAAGUAGCCGGCCAGUGACGUGCACCACUGAUCCAACACCAUCUGGCCGGCAUCGAUCCAUCUCUUCUGCAGCCGGGACGGCCAUCACCAGUCCUGGGCGGCCAGGAUCGGCCCACGUGCACGGUAGAGCCCAGCCAGCCAGCCAAUCAGGCGGGGCCACCCCCCAUUGGCCGGCCCGCGCGCAUCCGGGCCCGCACGCUCGGCCUGCCACACUCUUCAACAACCAACCAGACCACCCACUCCUCUCGCCCCCAUCACGCCUCCGCUCCAUCCAUUCCAUCCUCUCCGCCUCCGGUCAGCUCGCCAGAUCCUACCUCCACGCGCUAGGGUUCGCCCGCCCGUCGUCGCCACUCGCCAGCCAGCCAUGGCGUCCGGGAAGCACUUCAAGUACGUCGUCCUCGGCGGCGGGGUCUCCGGGGGGUACGCGGCGCGGGAGUUCGCCAAGCAGGGCGUGCAGCCGGGGGAGCUCGCCAUCAUCUCCAAGGAGGCCGUGGCUCCUUACGAGCGCCCUGCCCUCAGCAAGGCAUACCUGUUCCCCCAGAAUCCUGCAAGAUUGCCAGGAUUCCAUGUGUGCGUGGGAAGUGGAGGCGAGAGGCUCCUGCCUGAAUGGUACUCAGAGAAAGGCAUCGAGCUUAUCCUGAGCACUGAAAUUGUCAAAGCUGAUCUUGCUUCCAAGACUCUGACUAGUGAAGCUGGAGCAACCUUUACAUAUGAGAUCUUGCUAAUUGCUACUGGCUCCUCAGUCAUUAAGCUCUCUGAUUUUGGCACUCAAGGAGCUGAUUCUAACAACAUUCUGUACCUAAGGGAAGUUGACGAUGCGGACCAGCUGUAUGCAGCUAUCCAAGCAAAGAAGGGUGGGAAGGCAGUGGUUGUUGGAGGAGGUUACAUUGGCCUUGAACUAAGCGCAGUAUUGAAGAUGAACGAUCUUGAUGUGACUAUGGUGUUCCCUGAACCUUGGUGCAUGCCUCGUCUCUUCACUGCCGAGAUUGCGGCUUUCUACGAGAGUUACUAUACUAACAAAGGAGUCAAGAUCUUGAAGGGUACAAUUGCUGUUGGUUUUGAUGCUGACGCCAAUGGUGAUGUGACCGCAGUUAAGCUAAAGGACGGCAGUGUGCUCGACGCUGAUAUUGUUGUCGUCGGUGUUGGGGGCAGACCGUUGACUAAUCUCUUCAAAGGCCAAGUUGCCGAGGAGAAAGGUGGAAUCAAGACCGAUGCUUUUUUCGAAACAAGUGUCCCUGGAGUGUAUGCCGUUGGCGACGUGGCGACCUUCCCGAUGAAGAUCUACAACGACGAGAGGAGAGUGGAGCACGUUGACCAUUCCAGGAAGUCCGCGGAGCAGGCCGUGAAGGCGAUCAAGGGGAAAGAGGCGGGCUCUGCCGUGGAGGAGUACGACUACCUGCCCUACUUCUACUCGCGGUCGUUCGACCUGUCGUGGCAGUUCUACGGGGACAACGUCGGCGACGCCAUCCUGUUCGGCGACGCCGACCCCAGCUCCACCAAGCCCAAGUUCGGGUCGUACUGGGUCAAGGACGGCAAGUGUGUGGGCGCGUUCCUGGAGGGCGGGUCGCCGGACGAGAACGCCGCCAUCGCCAAGCUCGCGAGGGCCCAGCCGCCCGCCGCCAGCCCCGACGAGCUCAAGGCCGCCGGCCUCCAGUUCGCCAGCAAGAUCUGAUGUGGCCGUGCCGCUGAAGUGUCACGUUGGGCAUUAGAUUUGCAAAUACAUACAUACAUACAUAAACACAUAGCUCACUGCACAGUACAAUUUGGUCGAUGCUAUUGUGAUGUCUGUAUGCCACAUACUCUCUCAGUUUCUCCGCGCCUUUGAGGUUUCAAUAAAGCCCGCACCCCUACGGUCAGUUCAAUACACAUUUGUUGGCAUAAGCUUUUGUGAGGAUGCUUUUGUGUGGCCGCUCUGGUGCCGGCGCCGUGAUGGCCACCACAGCCGUGAUCGCCGGUCUUCCUCGACUUGCGCCUGCGAGGGGGAGGAGACGGAGGUGCACCGUGGCGGCGGCGAUGGGCGCGUCGGGGCUGGAGGAGGGGAAGGGGAAGACGGCGACGGUGAGGAGCAAGGCGUCCGGGGACGCGCUGGAGGUGUGCCGGGUGGUGAACGGGAUGUGGCAGGUGAGCGGCGCGUCGUGGGGCCGCGCGGCGCCGGCGGCCGCCGUGGACGCCAUGCUCGCCUACGCCGACGGCGGGCUCGCCACCUUCGACAUGGCCGACAUCUAUGGACCGGCGGAGGAUUUAUACGGCAUGUUCAUCAACAAAGUUCGGCGCGAGCGCCCGCCGGAGAUGCUAGAAGAAGUCAGGGGGCUUACAAAGUGGGUGCCGCCACCUGUUAAGAUGACAAGAAGCUUUGUUGAGGAGAACAUCAACAGGUCCCGGAAGAGGAUGGAUGUCGCUGCCUUGGACAUGCUGCAGUUCCAUUGGUGGGACUACGCAAAUCCCGGAUAUCUAGAUGCACUAAAGCACAUCACCGACCUCAAGGAGGAAGGCAAGAUAAAGACUGUAGCUCUGACGAACUUCGAUACAGAGAGGCUGCAAAUAAUCCUAGAAAAUGGAAUACCAAUUGUCAGCAACCAGGUUCAACAUUCUAUUGUGGAUAUGCGCCCGCAGAAAAAGAUGGCAGAGCUUUGUGAGCUUACCGGAGUCAAGCUUAUCACGUAUGGCACGGUGAUGGGUGGCCUAUUGUCCGAGAAGUUCCUCGACACCAACAUCAACAUACCUUUUGCUGGACCUCCUCUGAAUACCCCAUCCCUGCAGAAGUAUAAGAGGAUGAUCGACGCUUGGGGUGGCUGGAGCCUGUUCCAGGCUCUGCUCCAGACCUUGAAGAAGGUGUCACUGAAACACGGCAUCCCGAUCUCAACUGUCGCUGUACGAUACAUACUGAACCAGACAUCGGUGGCUGGUUCAAUGGUGGGCGUGAGGCUGGGUCUGUCGGAGCACAUCAGGGACACCAACGCCAUCCUGUCGCUGCUGCUGGACGAGGAGGACAUGGGCAGCAUCACCGAGGCGUCGCAGCGGGGCAGGAACCUGAUGGAGGUCAUCGGAGACUGCGGCGACGAGUACAGAGCCUAGUGACUUUCACAUGGCCGGGGAUCGAGUCUCGAUCCUCGAUCCCCCCAGCAUGUGCUCCCACAACGAUACAUAACAUACCACCUUAACAAAUGAGAGUGACAAUCAUGGAGAGGAAAAACUUUCAGUGGCAUGGAGACAGAUAGACAGAGAGACAAGGAGGAUCAUGUGCUCCACCGAAAGCAGCGGCGAAUGUGGUGGUGGAUAGAUCUCCCUGGCCAACAGGGAGCAUAUCCCGGCCUUGGAGACCGAUCUGAUCAUGGCAUAAUAUUGUAUUUCAAUUCUAGUAGUAUAAAAUUGUUGGAAUCAUGGUGUUGGUGGUGAUGCUUGCCGUGCAAAUUGUUAUUAGUUGCUCCUCUGUUUGGGAAUAUACGAGGAUCUGCGCAAUGAGAUAUGGUCGACAAUACUGCGAAAUUUGACCAUUGUUCUUCGUUAAAAAUGUGUAUGUACAGAAAUAUUAAAGCAAACAAUGGUGUUUUCAUGGUACCUGUCAUUAAUGAAAAAAAGAAGAAGCUAUUUUUAUUGAUAUGUUUUGCGAGUGGUGAAUAUGUUUUGUUUAUAUCAAUGAUAAAUUUUAUUUGAG